AAAACCUGCUGAUGUGGAUGGCUGUGUGUCUAGUCCAUGUUUCCACAUUAUAUUCAUGACUAGAUCCACACUCAUCCGGAUUGGAGGGGA
rnacentral:pre_miRNA from 1 species